rnacentral:rRNA from 1 species
GACGAACGCUGGCGGCGUGCUUAACACAUGCAAGUCGAACGAAGUGGCGAACGGGUGAGUAACGCGUAAUUAACCUGCCCUUCAGAGGGGGACAACAGUUGGAACCGACUGCUAAAACCGCAUACCGAUGGAGGGGUUUGUGUCUGAAUAGCUAGUUGGGGGGGUAACGGCCCACCAAGGCGAUGGUCCGUAGCCGGUCUGGGAGGGUUAACGGCCACAUUGGGACUGGGGAACGGCCCAGACUCCUACGGGAGGCAGCCGUGGGGAAUCUUCCGCAAUGGACGAAAGUCUGACGGCGCAACGCCGGGUGAUUGAUGACGGCCUUCGGGUUGUAAAGCUCCGUUAAUCGGGACGCGGUACCGGAAUAGAAAGCCACGGCUAACUACGUGCCAGCAGCCGCGGUAAUUC